rnacentral:rRNA from 1 species
UACGUAGGGUGCAAGCGUUGUCCGGAAUUAUUGGGCGUAAAGAGCCCGUAGGCGGUCUGUCGCGUCGGCUGUGAAAACCCGAGGCUCAACCUCGGGCCUGCAGUCGAUACGGGCAAACUAGAGUACUGCAGGGGAGACUGGAAUUCCUGGUGUAGCGGUGAAAUGCGCAGAUAUCAGGAGGAACACCGGUGGCGAAGGCGGGUCUCUGGGCAGUAACUGACGCUGAGGAGCGAAAGCGUGGGGAGCGAACAGG